UUCCUUUGAAGGUUGUUGGUUUGUUCCUAAAAAAACUUGUCCAAUCCACAGGAUUCAACAUCUUUAACUUGUGUAUUCUACUGAGCUUGCACCACUUGAUCCAAGGUUGUCAAUGCAUCACCAAUAGCAUGAUCAUUUCUCUGAACCAUUCCUCUGAACAUCAACAAACAGCUGUUAGAACAAACAUUAUAUCGACAACAUUCAUACACAUAUCGUACACUAGGAAUAAUUAAAAUCACAAAAACCUGGACGGACGGACCGAUCUGCUCUGAUACCACUAUGAAAAACCCUAAACCCCGAAACUUAUGUAUUAAGAAUUAUACGAUAAUUUAAGGUGUCACCAAUGACAAACCUCGAAAAUUAUUCAAUAAUUAAUAAACAUGUAGCGGAAUAUACUAACUUCAUACAACACAUGUCAUCGCUCGCUCACCUUCACUUAGGGUAUCAUUGUGGCGGUAUCAUUCUAAUUAGAUAAAUAAACUUAACCUCAACAUUUAGUCUUAAAAACUCAUUUAAAUAAAACUUUGUCAAAAACAAGAGUUAUUAAACUCAACUCUUAAACACUUCAACAUAAGCCAAUAAACUAUUAAACUUUAACAAAAUAAUCAAAUAAAACAUUCUCGGCCCCAAUGUUACAAGAUCAGAGCAAGACUUCUAAAAGAACGAAACUAAAGAAGUAACUCAUUUAGCUAACUUCACUUACUGCUGAGUAUUUAGAAGAUGUCCAUGGUGGAUAACACUCAAGCAAAGGGGGUGAGAAAUACAUUCAAAUGAUAAAUGACGCAUAAAUAAUCAGAGUAGAUUAAAUAUAAUACAGUUCAAACAUAAUGCACUAUACACCGCAUCAUAUGUAUUCAAGUUUCAUCCACUUCACAAUAAUACACAAUCAAUAUGCAAUGUGACUCUCAACAACAUUAUAGACUCAUAUGCAUGCGGUACCGUUUUCAAUAAUGGUUCCAAUUAUGAACCAGGUUUUAAUCAACUGCGAAGCCAUGAGCCCCACACCGAGCUCCAAGCCUCAACAUAAAUCUUGAGAAAAUUACUGGUCACCAACAUCGAAACCUGUAGUUGCCUCUUUAAUAACAACAAUAACUCAUGAUGCAUGAAUGAAUGUAUGCAUCAUCACAAUAACUCAACAACACAAACGAUAUCACACCAACCGCAUAAUUUCCUGUACAACAUCAACAGUAUAGUUUCACAUUGAAACCAUGUAUCUCAACUUAACAUAUCAUCAAAACACAACAAUCAAACAACCUACAAUUAUAUUAUCAAUUUACCACAUCAAUUUAUCAACAACGAAAACUCAACGUUUUGCUAAACGGUUAUUCUCAUGAUCAUGAAAACCACAACAACAGAACCUAUAUAAUCUUAAUUUUGCCAUCUCAACUCUCACCAUCACUGUGUAGUUAAGCUUGUUGGCUUUCCAAAAUUUUAAACGACGUCUAAAUCGGGCUUACGGAAUGAAAGUUAUGACCAAAAUCAUCAGGAUAUGUCAACUAAUUCGAAAAUAGAUUUUUCUCAAAAUUAUAUUGUACAAUCGAUUGUCACUGAAAGAUUUUCCAAAAUUUUACAUUGUGCAAUCGAUUGUAAUCAAGGUGCAAUCAAUUGCACUGAGGGAUUUUUCCAAAAAUUACACUAGUGCAAUCGAUUGCAAUCUGGGUGCAAUCGAUUGCAAAAUUUUACAUUGUGCAAUCAAGGUGCAAUCAAUUGCUCUGGAGGAUUUUUCCAAAAAUUACACUAGUGCAAUCGAUUGCAAUCUGGGUGCAAUCGAUUGCAGCUGAAGGAUUUUCUAAAAUAAAAAAAAAUUCUUUGUUACGAUUGCAGUACCCAUUCCAACCUUUCAAACCUCAUACCAAUUCCAAAUUAAUCCACCAAAAACUCUCAAAAUCGUAUUUUAACAUCACCGAUGGAUCAAACAUAAUUAAAUUAAUCCAACUACAGUUUUUCCUCAUGAUUCCAUCACUCAAAAUUAUACCUUAAAACACCAAAUUUUCAUCAAAAAUCAAGAACACACCAAUGUAACAAUAGUACACCAUUGCAGUUCAAUUCAAUCAUGUGAAGACAUAAUUAUCUACAUACAAUUCAUCAACAAUCAAUCAAUAUUUAAUAACAUCCAUCAAAAUUCAUCAAAAUUCAUCAAAAUAUCAAUUUAAGAGCAAACCCUAUUGGAGGUUAAGAAAACAUCUCUAUCUUUUCAUGAUUUAGCACCCAUAGAUGAAUAGUUUCCCCUACCUUAGAUUUCAGAAUUUUCCAGCAAAAUCAAGGUGAAUUGGUGUUCUUCCCUCAAGUCAUGGUACUCCUCUUCAAGUUU
rnacentral:lncRNA from 1 species